GGAAACAGCCUAGCUGAGAUUUUGCCCCGACAGGAUACUCCCGGGGGCCCGUGGAAGGUCUACGGAGCGGCCCGACGCCCCAGGCCCGACUGGAACACCGAUCACCCGAUCGAGUACAUCCAAUGCGACGUUUCCGACCAGGACGACACGCAGGCCAAGCUCACAAAACUCACCGACGUCACCCACAUCUUCUACGUGACGUGGGCCAGCCGUCCCACGGAAGCCGAGAACUGCGAGGUCAACGGCACCAUGCUUCGCAACGUGCUCCGUUCCGUUAUCCCGAACGCGCCAAAUCUCCGCCACGUCUGCCUCCAAACAGGAGCGAAACACUACUUGGGACCGUCCGAGUCGUUCGGCAAGAUACGGCCUCACGACACUCCUUUCACCGAAGACCUGCCAAGACUGAAUGUGCCAAACUUUUAUUACACUCAAGAAGACAUACUGUUUGAAGAAGUUGAAAAAAGAAAGGGGCCGUUGCCAUUGACUUGGUCCGUACACCGGCCUCAUUUAAUAUUUGGGUUUUCACCGUACAGUUUGAUGAAUGUUGGGGGCACUCUGUGUGUGUAUGCGGCUAUAUGUAAACAUGGAGGGGUUCCUUUACUGUUUCCAGGGAGUAAAGAUUGUUGGGAGGGCUACUCGAUUGCGUCGGACGCGGAUUUGAUUGCGGAGCAACAGAUUUGGGCGGCGGUGGAUCCGUAUGGGAGAAACGAAGCUUUUAACUGCAGCAAUGGGGAUGUUUUUAAGUGGAAGCAUUUGUGGAAAGUGUUGGCUGAGCAGUUUGAGAUUGAGAAUUAUGGGUUACCACAGGAGGGCGAGAGAGUGAGAUUGGAGGAAAUUAUGAAAGGUAAAGAAGGUGUGUGGGAGGAGAUCGUGAGAGAGAAUCAGCUGCAGCCCACAAAGUUGAGUGAGGUGGCUGUCUGGGGGUUUGCAGAUAUGAUGUUAGAUGGAGGGUUUUUGUGGUUGGGUAGUAUGAAUAAGAGCAAGGAGCACGGAUUCUUGGGCUUCAGGAAUUCUAAGAAUUCUUUCGUUUAUUGGAUUGACAAGAUGAAAACUUACAGGAUUGUGCCUUAAGAGGAGUGAUACUCUUGUGAAGGUUGUAAUUGUUGUUUGGUGAGUAAAUGGUUAUUAUGUUUCAUUAUCAUGAUUCAUGUAACUGUUUGAAAAAUCAAUGGUUUUUGGUCUGAAGUUGGAAAAUCUACAGUCUCGUCGCAUCUGUUUAAUAAAAAUAAAUCGGAGGCUUUUUAAUUUCUGUUUCUUUGUGUUCAUCAGUUCAUCCCGGCCUUUCUUUCAUCUUUCCUUGGUACACCAACCAGUUGUAAUAAUUGCACAACAAAACUGAUAGUGUUACAGAGAUCUAUUUAUGGCUAUGCUUUGGUUAAUGAAAAAACUAAUGUAUACGACAUAAUUUGUGGCAGUGGGGGCCUGCGUUCGCGCGGCCCCCUCCCCAACUCAUUUAAAAUUUUGAACUAUUUUUGUGCGCCAUUAUCUCAACGGCUAUCUCUCAACUUACAACUAUUUUUGUGCGCCAUUAGCAGCCUCCUUAUUCUAAGUGAGUUUCAUAAUCCUGAUCAGACUGAAAAUCUUUUGUACAUUGUCGUCUGGUUGUGACUAGUGCCCUAACGGUGUUACAAUCAGAUCUCUGCCGAAGUCAAUGCGUAUCUUAGUAUACUUACCUAAUAAGAUCCUAAUUAAGGUUUAUUUUAUUAUUUAAAAAUUAAAAAAAAAAACAAACUGAAUAAUUAUAUUUGCUCACCUAAACGUUAGGCCCCAUCUUAAUAUAUAGUUCCACUAAAAAAUUAGUUUUUCUUUAUUUUCUUGUUUAAAAUGUAGGAUUUUAAUUUUUUUCAAUUAUUUAACAUUAAAUCUUGAUUGAAUUUAGACCUCACUGAGAUUUAGUUAAGGAUUAUUCUCUAUUUUUAAAGUUAAAUUUCCAUCAAAUAAGGUUGUUUAAUGAUUUCUACUUUUAAAAAAAAUCAAGGCAAUUAAAAAUUAUUAUGUAGAAAAUUUGUUAAGGAUUUAUAUUUUUUUAAAAAUAAUCAUACAUAUUUAUCAUAAAAAAUUCAAUCAAUCUCAUGUUAACCUUUUUUUUUAAAAAAAAAAAAUUUUCCUAAGACCUAAAAUUUAAUUGCGCCGACCCUAACCCACAGUUUAGGAUGGAUAGAUUUUGUUGUUUUUUUUUCCAUAUGACGGUAUUAAGAUUGUGGAUACAUGCCUUAAAUGGACUUAGACCCUUAUUACCCUACGACGUGUAUCGCCUAAAUUGACUAUAAAUAAAAUAAGGCUGGAAAUGUAUUUAAUAUUCUAAAAGCUUGUCCGAAAUUGGCUAGAAAUAAAAUAAGAGCAGAAAUGUAGUUAACAUACUGAAGCUGGUAGCUGCAUCUAAAACUUUCCAACGGCUAGUCUUCUAUGUCUAACAUUCAAGACCCUGCUCAAGAAUGAUAGCAUUUACCAAUCACACGCUCAUUAAAUAAAUCAUCUUACCAAAAGCACUUUCAUUUUUGUAAUAAUACAAUUUUAUUAUUGUAUAUUAAAUUAAGUGCAAAAACUAAAAAAAAUCAGUUAUUGGGAGAUUAUGGACCCUUGGAGAUCCAUUGUUAUUAUUCAGAGAGGGGAUGAAGAUCCCUCAAGCAAUUCUGACAAGGACGGGAUCAUAUGCGGAAUAUUGGGAAUGGGUACAUGGAUUUCGACCUCCUCUUCUCCUCUCCCCAUUACCAUUUAAGGUUUAAACGAUAAAGGAAGCAUGUUGAUUUUAUCAUGAUUAAGUAAGUAUGCGUGUCACAGGUGCAAUCAAGCUUUGGAAAAUCAAUUGUAAUGGUUUGAUGUUGGAAAACCUUCGUUCUGCCAUCUCUUUUAUUACUUGUUAUGAGCAAAAAUUACUUGGAAACCCUUGUACUACCCAAAUAGAAGUCAUGUUUGUUGGUUAGAUUUCCAGCUAUGUAUUACUUUGUUGUUUGUUAAUAGCAAAUAAAUAAUUAAACGUGUUUGGGGAAUUAAAUAAGGUGACCAUGAUCUCCUCCAAUUAAAAGUGAGCAAAUAGAUGAGCAGAACACCUCGAUCAGGUGGUAAUUCUUGAGACCAUGAGCAGACCACCCCGACUAGAUGGUAAUUAUUGAGAUCAUGAGCAAACCAUCUCGACCAGGAGGCAAUUCAAGUGAUUGUGAGUAGAUGGGUUUGAGGAGACCAAAACCAGGUCGGUCCACAGACCCCAAUUAAGUUUUAUUGACGAGUUCCCUUUGAAAAUUCGGGCAUGACGUCCAUGCAUGGCCAGUUGUUAUAAUUACAACUCAAUAACUACUAUGUAACGGGCGCAUUAACUCAUGAUUCAAGCGGCGCAUUCAACCCAGUAACGCCAACGCAUUGAAGAUGGUAUGAUAAUUUCGGAUGCCUAUAAAAGUACUAAAAAAUCCAAAGGGAGGGGGUGACUUUUCUCUCUCUAUGAUAUUUUUUACUCUCUUCAGAGUCUUCAUUCAUCUUUAUAGAAAAAUAAAAAACAGUUUAUUUUUUUUAGUUUUAUUUUGGUAAACCCAUAAACUGACUUGAGCAUUGAAGGGUUCAUGCUGUAAAAGCUUAUGGUGCCUCUUACCGUUCUCUAUUAUUUCAGGUGUUCGCAAAUUAUUUACGAGUGGUUGCAAGGUAUUCUUGACGAUUGGGCAGCCGAUUCUCCACCAAAUAAAUUUAAUGCUGGUGCAGAAGUCUAGUAUUCAGUCGCUAAUCAACUCAAUUGGAUUUCAGCAUCAACAAAACAAUUUUACGUCAUUCUCAAACUUCAAUAAAAUUGAGCAUAUAUACAAAAUAAAAUUGACCAAAUAUUUCAAAUUUUGAGGAUCAACAUUAUCUAUCAUAGACAACAGCUAGCAAUACAUAAAGGCAGCUACCAAUGUAUAAGAGGAUAAGAUCGAUCAACAAAAGGGUGGGGUUCCACGAGGGCCAGGUCGCCCGCCGACCAUUGGUCCACAACAGCUCUCAAAAAGUGCAGCAGUAGCGCAGCACAUAAAUACUAGGGAUGGCAAACAGCGGGCCUGGGCCGGGCUUUUUCAAGCCCAUGUCCAAGCCCUCUGUCAGCUAAGUGUACAGGCAUGGGCCGGUCCAGGCCCAUUGCGGGCAUGGGCCGGUCCAGGCCCAUUGCGGGCAUGGGCCGGUCCAGGCCCAUUGCGGGCAUGGGCCGGUCCGGGCCCAUUGCGGGCCUGGGCCGGGCUUGGGCUUUAUUUAUUUAUUUUAAAUUUUUUAAAUUAUUGUAAAUUUGAAAUAAAUUAAUGAUCAACAAGUUAUUACAAUCAUAGAUAAAUUAAAGAAAAUGAAUAUUUCAAAUUAAAAUAAUAAAUAAAGCAAAUAAAACUCAUAAUUUUAAUUUUCUUUAAUACUAGAUUUUCUAAUUCAAACGCUCUCUUAAUUAAUUGACACAAAAGAGAGAAUUUAGUAUCAUAAUUUUAGUUUUUUUGAAUCAUAAUUGAUUUAUAAGUUAAGAAUUUAAGUUUUCUUCUUUUAUUUUUAAAUUACUUUUCAAUUUUAAUCAUAUUAUUCUAAUUUAUAAAAUUAUUUUUUUAAAAAAAGUAGUGGGCUUGGGCUUUGUCCGGGCUUUUUUUCUUGGGCCCUUGUCCAGGCCCUCAUGGGUGAGGGCCGGGCCUAAGCCCGCGGGCCUGGGCUUGGGCCGGCCCGGGCUUUUUUGCCACCCCUAAUAAAUACUAUUACAAUAAUUAAUAAUGCCCUAAAUAAGUACCCAAAAAAAAUCAAGACUUUUUUUGUAGGGAUAGCGAGGGCUCGAUUCAAUUUGGUUUGCUUCUGGAUCGAACUAAACUGAUCAAUUUUUGUCCAAUCUAUAAACCAAAUUGAAUUGAUUCGGUUUGAUUUUUAUAGUUUUGAACUGUAAAUUCUUUUACAUUUUGUAGUUUUUUCAAUUUCGAUUUUUUUAACCAAUAGGGUUUUCUUAAUUUUUUAAAUCACACCGACGUAGAUUGAACCAAAUCAUCGGUUCGAUUAAAUUUUUUCUUGGCAUCAGUUUUUAUACCCGCCCCUAAUUUUUUUGUAUCACCCAAUUCAAUUAAAGUUACCAUAAAGAAAUAAAACGGAAAAUACCACCAAAAAAAAAAUUCAAAGUAACCACACUCGGCCCUCCUAACAACGAACCCCAGCCUAGCAGCAUCUUCUUAUCUCUCCCUAAUUAGAAUGCAAUGCAAGGAUAUAUAUACGCUGAUGGUUAUUGAUCAAGCAGAUGUAGAAAAUAUACAGUGGUGUCUGUGCGCGCGCGCGCGUGCGCGUGUAGAUUCAAGAAAGCUUAAUGGUUAUGGAUUAGAAUUGUGGACUAACAAAUGGAGAAGGUAAAUGGAAUUUGUUUAAUUUAUACAGCCUGAUGUUCCGCAUCGAUAAUGAAAGACUAGUAAGUACUAAGUAGAAAGAACCAUUUAUAUAUAUAACCCAGUGAUCGAAGUUCAAAUUGUUCAUGACACUUCGAUAGGAACAGGUGAGUCAAGUUGAUGAAAAGGUAAACGAAAGAAUGUAAAACAAAAUGUAAAUUCAAAUUUCUCGGUUUUUGCUUCAUAUAUGCAUUAAACACAGAACGCUUCUAUGUUGAUUGUAUGUUAAUAUUUGCAACCAAUCACUCUGUCAACAAUUAAAUGACUCUUUAUAUAUAUUACUAUUAUUCGAAGAAUUCGAGUUUCUCUGCUGCAAACAAUAAUGUUUGGCAAACCUAGGAUUAAUUAGAGUGCUCUAUUUAUAUUUAUUUGUGGGAUGAUUUAUAAUAAGAGAUUUCUUAUAUAUAUUUUAGCUUUCCUUUUGCUAUUGUAGCUGUCUAAAUAUUUUGAGGGGUAAGGCUCACUAUGUCUCCGCUAACUAGGUAUAAAAUAUUUUUGGUUUUUAAUAAAAUUACCUCGCUAGCCAAAUUUCAUUAAAAAAAAAAAUUAUCUAUUUAUUUAUUUUUUAAUGUUAGGAGGUCCCUCAAAAGUUAAAUCGAUCUUUUUAACCCCUAUGACCCUAUCUCUCCAAAUUGUUUAAAAGUUCAGGACUUUUUUUUUUUUGGUUUUGACCACGAGGUAUCCUGGGGAGGGCCCCAACUGUGGGAGGCACCUUUAAGGUCGUACCACAACCCAGACUAAAAGUCCUAAAAGUUCAGGACUUUAAUUCUAACAUAUCUUGAUAAUAUAAUAUGAGUAAUAAAUUGACACUUACUUGGCAAUUUAUUUAAUUAUUAAAAGAUGUCACACGAUUGGCAUUUCGAUGAUUGAUAAACCACAAAGUUAAACAACACUAUACACAUCAUAAUUAAUGAUAUGUGAAACAAUGAUUUGAGACAAACUAUAUAAACCCCAGUUUCGUAAAUGUAAUAUAAUAAAUAAUUAUUAUACAUUAUAUUUCGAAUCCAUCCUUUACACGGUAAGAUUGAAUUAAUAAGUAUCAAGUAAAGUAAUGGUGAAUUAGCAUCAUUUUCAUCCGAUUAAACUUUCAUACAAUAACAAUGAACAAAACCAUCCAAUAAAUCAUAGUUAACUAUCUUAAACAAAUUCCUUAACAAUUAAAACUACCGUCUUCAUUACAUAAACAACAUCGGAGUAAAAGUAAAGCAGCACAGAAAACUCUAUGACAAGGUGGCAACUGGCAUGCAAGAUGAUCACGGAGGUGGUGGGCCGAAAUCAGUUGGACCAGGAGGACCAAGUUGGCCCAUUGGAUCACCAAAGCAGCCUCGUUGCAACCAGCAGCGGCUCACAAAGCUCAAGCUGUCAUAACAAACCCAACGACAAGCAAUCAAAAGCCAGUACUAGCUUUUUCAGCCACUGAGAAUUUUUGUCAGUAUGUCAAUUUUUUCGUGAUUGUUCAGUUGCAUCUAAAGUCCCCAUUUUGACACGUUUUAGUGUAUCUUACACUACCUGAUAUAUCAACGAUGUUUACUUGGAACAUGGAGAAUUUUGAAACCCUCAACACCUAAAUCCGAUGUUUAAUGACUUACCAUGAACCGAUGACGUCACAAAAGCCAACGAAAAAUUAGUACUGUUACCGGCUCUUUAAGCAAAAUUAGUACACGCCAAGGAAAAUAACAAGAGACUUUCACAAGUCCAAACUUGCUCUUGCUUGUAUAUACAGAGAUGCAAAACGUUUUCAUGUUAAAUGGACGUGGUACAAAUGCCAGAAGGUUUCUUGUGUUUAUAGAAAGUGCAUGCUUAGGAUUUAAGCAUCCAUCUUUGUUGUCACAUUUGCAUCUAACACUUUCCAACUGCUAGUCUUCUAUGUCUAACAUUCAAGACCCUGCUCAAGAAUGAUAGCAUUUACCAAUCUCACGCUCAUUCAAUAAAUCAUCUUACCAAAUGCACUUUCAUUUUUGUAAUUAACAAUCACAAUAGUGAUUUUGAUAAUUCAAGUGAUAAUCGCUGUAGUUAAAACCCAUUUAACAACCUAUGGAGGAUUUGUGCACGCAAAUGUGACCGAAUGGUUUUUAAAUAAUUUUAUUUAAUUGGCUAUCCAACUUCAAAUCUUAAGAGAAAUAAGGGAUUUAAACAAAAUGAAUUUGAUCAAAAUGAAUCUGGACUUUGCUCACUGCCUCGAAAAAAAUAAAAACUACAUAAGGUUAUCGACACGAGUCUUCAAUGAUAAGCAAUUAGAUUAUAUUUUACUUUCCAGAAGAUAGCAUGUCUCAAAGAGGUUUAAGUCAAGAAAUUUCUAAAACGCAACAACAGAUGAACGAGUGUGAUUAGAAAGUGCCACAGAGAAAUGAAAAGAUGUUGGUGAAUUUUCAAAUAUGGAGGCAAAGAGUAAAGAAAAUUUCUUAGGAUUUGAGACGUGUUUACACACUUUCCUUUAAGGUUUUAUUUGCCCUCACCAAUCUUGGUUUGCUACAGAGUUUUAAUGGCAAAUUUCCCCCAAGAUAUAUCAAAUCCUGAAUACAAUCUCUAGCAAAUAAGAUUGUAUUUCCAGAACAUGUAUGAAACCUGUAAAAUCUGAUAUUAAUCUAAUUAUAUGUCUAUCUUUAAUGAAGAAGAUAUUUAAUUGAAAGAAUACAACCAUUAGAAAUGGUACUUCUUCAAAGACACUCUUUUGGUUUGAAUUUGCAUCGACUGACAAUUGAAAUUUUCAAGCUUGCUAACCGUUUUUCCAGUUGACGUCUCUCUGGAAAUAAACGGUUAGCCGUUUUCUAAAUAACGGCGAGCCGUUUUAUUUCAAAAUGUCAAAUAAGUUACUCACUGUAAAUAAACGGUUAGCCGUUUUCUCAAUAACGGUGAGCCGUUUUCUCUAAAAUAUGAAACCAAAGAUUGAAAAAUAUAACAAUCUCUCUUACAAAAGAAUACUAUAACUAAUACAUCUAUAAAUCUUAUUUCCAUGAUGACAUUAUAGCAGUGGGUUACCAAACCCAAUUGAAUUAUAUAUAUAUUUACUCGAAAAUUAGGUUAAACUGAUUACACAAAUUCUAUAGAAAAAUGGCCAAAAAAGAAAAUUAAAGAAAGACAAGUGCAGCAAAUUAAAGAUGUUUAAUUAAACCUCUCUAACCUUAAACAUAACAUAAGUCGUUGAGGUGCCGAAUAUGCAUGGAUCGAUCCAGUACCGUAAGUAACAAGGCAGCUUCUUCUAAUUAAGCAUAUUUCCGUUUGCCAGACCGCAACCUCACCCAGGAUCACAUGAUUAUCCUCCAACAAAACAAUCGUUGCCAAGGUCAUAAUGAAGCCAUCAUCAGACUGUCCGUGCUCUCCACGGACGGCAGCAGCUAUAAGCUCCUAAUAAAUCCAUCACAUUGCAACAACAUUUUCCAUCAAGAAAAGAUGUGCGGGACCCAAAUCUGCACUACGAAAAGCACCACGAAAGAAGUUGAGCAGCAAAGGUAUGUAAAUCGAGAGAAGAAAAUAAUGCACAUUGAUGGUUAAAGAGAGCAGAACGCCGGCCCGCCUGCUUUGUGUGCAGACAUGAGAUAAAGCUACUACGUAUUGUGCCCAGUAAAAGAUCGAAGAUGCUGAUUCGAUUCUGAUGCUGAAUCCCCAGACCAAGACUAAGGUUGGAGCAAGGGUUGCUAUGGCUGCAUAUUCAGAGCCCAACACCUCCGCGAACAAGAUCAUCCAGCUGUUUAAGUUUGUGAUGAGAAUCAUUGUUAACAAAGAUGACAUGUCGGGAAGAAGCUCAUGAUUGUGGGUUGGCCAAAUGGGCAUUUUCCCUUUUUUUUUUGUAAAUUUUUUUUCUCAGUAUUGUAUGUAACUUGUCUGUUUGGCUUCUGGGAAAAUAAAUAUGAGAGGAGAAAGCGAUUGGAGAAAAUUAAGCUGAGUCACAUGAUGAGGAUUGAGGCAGUCCAAACCAUGUGCUUCUACUCUGUUAGUGCAUUUACCUAUCUCAUAUAACAAAUGGAAAUGGCAGAGAAUUCAAAUUAAAGCUUCACAAAAUGGGAAACUGAGGUAUAAAGUGCUGGGUGGAAGUGACAAAUUAAGGAAUUUUGAAGGUCAUAGUCAUCUCAAUUUAUAGACUUCAUUAAUGCCAAUAUCUUAUUAAUUUCUGAAGUUGAAAAUUAACAUAUCGUAGACUUGUUGAGCUGUACAAAGCUCGUUACUCAUUCCAGUCACUUUAUUUCUCAAAUUUAUGAUCUUUCAAAAUCUUCUCAACUCCCACUGUUAUUGCUGGUUUUUCUGUUGAUCAAUUAAAAUUUAUUUCUUCGUUUGUAUGCAGGCACGUUUAUUUUUCAUCAUUUUUUUUAUUUAUGCAUAUCUAUAUUUGAGUACUUGUAAAAAAUUAUGUAUCACACAUAGGAAUUAAGAAUUGUUGCUAUGUUAUUAACCAAAUUCUCAAGAUUUUAAAUGCAGUGGAAAGUUUUGUACAUUUCAAUAUUAUUUCUAUCAAUAUUUUUUGGAGAAAUAAUUGUUGAAAAAAUAAAAUAAAAUCAGAGAGCGAGAAACUUUUGCCAAAAAUUGAAAAGAAGACUUGUACUCCAAGUUAUUGCGGUACGCCCACACAUAACACAAGAAUAACAUAUAUCUCCAUAAUUAAAUGAUGAAUGAGUGAGUAUUCACGUCUCUUGUAAAAGAUGAAAAAUUCAAGAACAGACCAAUAAGUCUGAAAGAAGAAAUAUUGAUUAGAUAUGAAGAUGAUCGAUGUGAACUUAACAUGUUAUUGAAUCAUUUGAAAUAUUGUGUUGCAAAGAUGGAUAAAAUAUUGAAGCUAAUCACGUCGAUAAGUGAACAUGAUAAAAUAAUCAGCGUUAAAGAUCAUUUGAGCAUUUUACAGUUUAAAUGCAUAGAGAAAUUGUAUGAUGGAUGGAGUGAUGUUGCGACAGAGGCAUUGAUUAAUAAAUUAAGGUUACUUGAUUUUAACCUUAAAAAAAACUUACUUGCCUUUUGAACUUUGUAACAGGCUAAUAUUUGCAUUUAAUUUUCUCCAAUAUUUUAAUAGUACAUUUGUCUAUAUCUAUAGGCUGAGGUUUAUCAUGAAUAUAGAUUCAAAAUUGUAAAAACCAUGCUUUUAUAGUGAAAAAAUGAAAGAAAAUAAAGAAAACAACGAACAGCAGAAAUAGAUAACGAAUAAAUGUUCUUUUAAAAAAAUUAAAUAAUUUAUGUCUAAAAAGAUAACAAUCAUAACAAGAUUAUGUUCUUUUUACCUACUCACAAUCAAUAAUUUUAUGCAUUCUAAUAAAAUAGUAAUAAUUAAGUGAAAUAAAAAUAAAAUAAGUUCAUGAUCAACACCAACUACCAACACAGACAACAAAUAUUUUGUGACAGACUGGGGACAAAAUAACGUAUAUCAUAAAAGCACGCGAACUCGUGAUGGAAUUACAGUUUAUGAAGGGAUUAAUGACCAACUUUGUGAUAGAAUUAUUGGCAAUCAUGAAUUUAUGCUAUGGUCUGAGACAAAAAAUUAUGUUAACUAUCAUUUGAAAAUAAGAAAUGAAACAGUGCAUUUACAUAGUGCUUGAGUAAAAACACUCCGGCAUUUUCCAAGUCUAAACACAGUCAUCCUUACGGUAACGGGUCACAGCCUCACUGUUAAAUUUAGAAACUCAAACCCUCACUCGAUCAUUCAAAUCUCUAUGACGUCACUGCGUAUAUUACAAAGCAAAGAGAGUUACCAUAUUGCUGUCGUUCAGAGCUCACGUUGCCGCCGUUGUACCAAUAAUCUAUUGGAGUUCUUGGCGAAGAGUGGUCGGGAUUUGCUCCCCGGUCGCUGGAGGCCCCAACGCUGGUGAGAUUCGAAAGAAACAUUUAGCUGUGAAGCGAUGAGUUAGGCGUGGCCAGGAUUAGUAUCAUAUUAUUAAUCGAUGGUUCAUGCUCUUUCAUUUCUAUUUCAUAAAGAAUUACUUCUAAAUGUAUAAUUUAACUUGGUAAUUAAAUAUUUAUCCGUUUAAUUGUUGCAAGUUGAGCUGGAUUAUGAGCUGUGGGUUCCCUCGAUGAGAAUUCAAUUCAGUCUCUUGAUCAACUAUGGGACCUCACAGUAAUACCAAUUAUUCAACCUUUUUUUGUCCAUAAACCAUAAUAUAUGAAAAGGAGCCUGCUAACCUACCCGUUCAAUUUGACAUUUUUGUUAAAACCUGGAUUUUAUUAAUUUUUAUUAUUUUCAUAUGUGCCCUAUGGUGGAGUUACUGAAGAGUUGAAAGGCAGUUGUUAGAAAACAAAAAAGUAAUAUCCAAUUCCUUAGUUCAUCCUAGACUCCGCUUGCAUGGCUUUUUGCACAAACCAUGCCUGACUAUUGAAAUUAGGGAAUUAGCUUGGAUAAUGCUUAGAUGGUCAAUAAUUAGCCAAACAAGACAAGUAAUAUCCAUUGGUUGAUGAUGCUUGAUUACAGGAUGGGUCAUCUUAAUAAUAGUGCCUUUGAUAUUAGGUAUACUUUCUUAUUUGUUUUGGACUCAUCCAGGGACCAGAAGGCAGAGGCUGAGACUAAGCCUUUAUGAAAAAUUCUCUCUCCUAGGUUAAUACUGGCACUAUUGUGCAGAGUAGGUUGCAUUAAUUUCUUUCACCCUCUGUGUUUUUGAUUCCUUGAUCAGUUUUCGAUUAUGCAAAGCACUGAACUUAAAUUUCUGUGAUUGUGUGGUACACUUAAAGGAGGUUGACUUGACUGGAAACUUGCUUUCAAAUUAGAAGGUUUGCGUUCUUACAUUUUACAAUUUGUAAGAGCUGCUUCAAUUAUGUUUUGAUCUAUGCUCUCUGUUUCACCUGUUUUAAAUUUAUUAGCUACAAAACCUGCAUUUUCUGCUAGAUAACCUUUUAAAAAUCACGGUCAUAUUUAGCAUGGCAUGGAUGCACAUAAUUAAUUGGCUUUUUAAUCUUUCAAUAAAUUCUAAAUUUCUCAAAGUAAAAUGCAAUCGGUGAUCUUUUGUUUGUUUGAGUUUCUCUGUUCAAACUUACCCUUUUUUUUAUACUGAAAAAUGGAAAUGAAAAAUCUGAGCGCAUUGAGAUUUCCUACAAUUGGUUUCUUAAGUCAAAGCUUUUUGAAUGAAAUGAAAUUCGCUACUGCUGCAGUGCAUGCCAGAACAAUUAAUCCUACUUCUACUUUUUAGUGGCGUAUCUACUGAAGUUUCAUUGUUAAUCAUAGUGGAGAGUUGAGACAAAUUGGCUGAAAGUAUAUCUAUAAUUUCGUAGCAAUGUUUUGGCUCAUGCUUUUAUAUUUUCAUUUGUUUGGUAUAUUUCAUGAGAUUACUAUUAUUAACAUAUUAACUACUGUUUGAGUAUACAUUAAGGGGUUAAUGCUACAAAAGUGUUUCUUGUUCAAAACAAAUGAUAGUUUAUACAAGCAUUUUUUUUAAUUAAAAAAUUGUAUAUCAUCAUUAUGGUUUAAUUAUGAAUUCUUUGGAUGAUGAUACUCUGAUGGUUUUGGGGGUUAUUUUAGUGUUGGAAUUUGGUGGACAUUGAUUUUUGGCACGGGUACUUCGCACCUGGUGAUUACUUAUAUUAGGAUAUGGGGUUGAUGUAUUUUGAAAAUACUUCAAAAUACAUGUAUUUUGUUGUUUAUUUUUAUAGGGGGCAACAUCAUAAUAAAAAAAAUAAUAGUUUAUAAGAUUUUGCAUAAUAUCAAAUUUUGUUUAAAAAAUUAAUCCACCAAAGAUAAUUUUUCAAAAAAUUAAUAGGAAAUUUAUUUUUGAGUGGGUUCAAUUGCCCCUGCACCCUUAAAUAUAGAUCUAUCUUGUUGACAAUGAUCUAGAUGAAGGAUAGAUUGCUUGUCAUGCACCCAUUUUAUGAUAAUUAUUUUCCGUCAUCUACUGUCCUUUUCUUGUAAUGCUUGUUAAUUUAAGAAUCAUACAAUUAACUUUGAAUGUGCCCAUUUGCAUAUGUGCGACAUUUUUCCUAUUUCUUGGCUUAACUAGGGGGGAAAAAACUUUAUUGACUUAUUUUUUUGUAUUUCCUUUAAAUUCAUCCAUCGUUUUCAUUUAAACUCAGUUUGAUAUAGUUUUGUAAAUAGAGCUUAUUUACCUUAAGUAUAACUUUUGUUAGUAGAGCUUUUACUAAAACAAUUUUAGUUGUUUGGUUGUCGAUGUAAACUUUUAUUAAAAAUUAUAAAAUUAUUUUAAUAGGUAAGUUUUUUUAAAGGUAUAUUAUGAAAUGAAUGAAAUAAGAUUAUCAAAAGCCCAAUUUUGAGCUCUCCGAGUUAAGGCAAAGUAACUUAUUUGAUCUUUAAAAGUUUUAUCCAGAUAAGUCAUAUCAAACAAGCACUUAGAAUUUUAUUCAUUAUAAGAAGUCAUAGCAUUAAAAUUAAAAGUCCUGAAAUUUCCUUGAACCCGCCCUCGAUACACAUUAUUUGUUGUUGUUCGUUUAUUGGAAUAUUACAUUAAUUUUGACUUAGGGACGGUUCAAAUUAAACAAUGUGAUAGCAGGAAUAUUUGGUUUAGGAGAUAAAUGAUUUGGAAAAUUGCAAAAACAUUAUUUCACUUUCAAGUUUUUUUUUUUAAUUUUUAACUGUUCAUAUAACACCACAAAUCUAACGCCCACAAAUUGUUAGUUAGACUGACCUAAAUUCAAUUACAAGUAAAUAGGUACAAAAACACCAUUUUGUGACUAAUUGUCGGGACAAAAAUAUUAUUUUCUUAUUAAUUGACUUCUUCCGUUAGUUAACAGUAUAAGGUAGCGUUUGUUUUUUUGUCUGAAAUCUAAAUGGAUCUGAAUUUAUCUAAAGUUUGAAUGGGUCUGAAUACGAAAAUUUAAAUGACAUGUUUUUUUUUUAAUAUCUAAAUAUAUGUGGCAUCUUGUUUGUUUUUAUAAUAAAAAAACCUUAAAUUUGGUUAUUUGACAUUUAUGUCCUUGUAAAUUAAAACAAAAAAAGAGGAUUAGAUUUUAUAGUUUAGGAAAUAAGUUAUUUUACCGAGAUAUUUUUGGAAUAUAAUAUUUACUUGUCAUUAAGAUAUUUUUCCAUUCAGAUAAAAGUCAUAAAAGUUUACUUUUUUUAUUCAGAUGUAAAUGUCUGAAAAUCAGACAUAAAUUCCAAAAAAUAAAUAAGUAAAUUUAAAAAAAGGUCUGAAAUUAAUAAAAUUUCAGACUUCAGACAUUUAACAAACAACUUCUAAGUUAAUGGAUUAUUCUCUAAUCGAGUAUUUUUUAAAUAUAUAUCACUUUUUUUUAAAUACGUCAAAAUAAGUGUCAUUGAUGGUAAUUCAUUAUAAAAUAUAUUUUUUUUCAAUUUUACCCUUGAUCUGUUAGAAUUAACAAUAAAAAUUAAUAGAUUAUAUAAUCAAAUGUUUUUAAAAAAUGUGUCAUUAUUAUAAAAUUUAUCAAAACAUGUGUCAUUCAAAUGUAAUUAACCCUUUUAUAAUCAUCUAUUAGUUGUAAUGGCUUGUCUUAAUUUUCUGAAGGCACAUGGGCGCCAUGCUCAUUCAAUUGAUAGAAAUUUGAUCAAUUCUCUAACUACUAAGCGAAUAUUGUAUAAAAAAGACGCCAUGUUCAUUAAAUUGAUAGAAAUUUGGUCUAUUUUCUAACUUCUAAGCGAAUAUUGUAUAAAAAAAUAUCAUGAUCAAGCUGAAGGUUGACAAAGUGACAAGAAUAGUCUGAUCAGGUGUUCCGUGCCGUUUUUGUCUUGAGAAUUGAAAAUCAGCCUCAACCGGAAGGAGUUAGCUUAAAAAAACAAAAACCGAGAAAAACGGCACAUCAUUUUCAAGCUGAUCACGACUCUUCUUACGGUGUUUGGUUGAGAGAAGAAAAUGAAGGAGGGAAAAAUAAUUUAAAUUUAAAUUUUAUUUUUAUUAUUUAUUUAGAUAAAAUUUAAUUUUUAUUAAAAUUUAAUAUCCAUCGUAAUGAAAAAUUUGAAUUUCAUACCAAGGGGUAAAUAAUUCAAAUUUCUCUUAUGUUGGAAACUAAAACUUCUAAAACUACCUUUCAACUUUUUAACUUGUUUAAUGCCAUUAAUAAUCAUUAUUUAUAAUUUUAUUUUAUCAAUGUAAUAUUAUAAAUAAUUUUAUAUUAAUAAAAUUUAAUGAGUGAUUUAAGAAACUUAAUUAAUAAAAUAAAUGAACUUAUUUAUUUUGUUUAUUUAAUGAAAAAUAUAUAAAUACAAAUUAAUCAUCGCUGAAAUUCUACUGGAACUCAUGCGAACUAUUGCCGUUGACUGUCGCCAGAACGCCGUUGUGUGUGUGUGCAUAAUUCUAAUAAAUCAUAAAUUGUUUUAGGAUUUUUUGACAUUAAAAAAGUUUGGUAUUGAUAUUAAAUUAUAUUUCAUUACUAAUAUAGAUAGUUUAAUAUUUAAAGCAAAAGAUAAAUUUGUCCAAAAAAAGAAUUGUAAUUCCUCUUCUUAUUAAAUUUUAUGUCAAACUUAAUAAUGAAAUUUAAUUUUACCAUUCUCCUUCACUCAUUUCUUAUCCCUUACCCUCCAUUCUAUUAUUUUUCUCUAUUCCCCUUUCUUUAAACCAAACAAGGCCUUACUAUAAUUUGGCUCUUAGUGCGCAGAAGGAAUAUUGCAAAUGGAUUAUCUCCCCCCUCCCCCCCCCCCCCCCCCCCAACAAAAUGGUUUUUCUCUAUUAAUUUUUUUCUAAUAAAUUAAAUUAUCGGUAUUAAAUUUUGAAUUUGAUAUUAAUAACUUAAUUAAUUUUUUCACUACAUUUAGAAAAAUAUGAGAGAGUAAAAUAAUAAAUACAACAACAACAACAACAACAACAAUAAUAAUAAUAAUAAUAAUAAUAAAAGAAUCAUAAUUUAUAUUGCACAAGUUAUCUCAAUGACUCGUGAGUCGUGUCGUUUUUCGUGGGUGGGUGACUUGGAUUUAGCCUCAUAUGUCACUGCUCGCGUCAUCUGAAUUUCUCUUUCAUUUCCCACACAUAAUAACAGCGAUUAAUUAAGAAGCACUGAAGCACAAAGCCGCGAACCAGAUUUGUCAUCAAACCUAGUAAUUGCAGAUUACAAAGCUUGUACCAACAACCAAAAAUGAGCUGGUGGUGGGCUGGGGCAAUUGGCAAUGCCAAGGUAAAGACUUAUAAUUAGAUCAUCUCUUUCAAUUGCUGUGCUUGAAAAUUUUAUUCUUAUUAAUUCAUACUUUUAAAAUCUUGAGUUUAAUUUUCAUUUUAAAUUACAGAAGAAAUUCGAAGAAAAUGAGCGACCACCGCAACCUCAAGACUACCAGCACGUGGGACUCCUGAUAGGCGUUACGGGAAUUGUGGGAAACAGCCUAGCUGAGAUUUUGCCCCGACAGGAUACUCCCGGGGGCCCGUGGAAGGUCUACGGAGUGGCCCGACGCCCCCGGCCCGACUGGAACGCCGAUCACCCGAUCGAGUACAUCCAAUGCGACGUUUCCGACGAAGACGACACGCAAGCGAAGCUCACAAAACUCACCGACGUCACCCACAUCUUCUACGUGACGUGGGCCAGCCGUCCCACGGAAGCCGAGAACUGCGAGGUUAACGGCGCCAUGCUUCGCAACGUGCUCCGUUCCGUUAUCCCGAACGCGCCAAAUCUCCGCCACGUCUGCCUCCAAACAGGAGCGAAACACUACGUGGGACCGUUCGAGUCGUUCGGCAAGAUACGGCCUCACGACACGCCUUUCACCGAAGACCUGCCAAGACUGAAUGUGCCAAACUUUUAUUACACUCAAGAAGACAUAUUGUUUGAAGAAGUUGAAAAAAGAAAGGGGCCGUUGUCAUUGACUUGGUCCGUACACCGGCCUCAUGUAAUAUUUGGGUUUUCACCGUAUAGUUUGAUGAAUGUUGUGGGCACUCUGUGUGUGUAUGCGGCUAUAUGUAGACAUGAAGGGGUUCCUUUACUGUUUCCAGGGAGUAAAGAUUGUUGGGAGGGC
rnacentral:lncRNA from 1 species